CAGCUAGUUGGUGGGGUAAAGGCCUACCAAGGCGACGAUCCAUAGCUGGUCUGAGAGGAUGAUCAGCCACAUUGGGACUGAGACACGGCCCAAACUCCUACGGGAGGCAGCAGUGGGGAAUAUUGGACAAUGGGCGCAAGCCUGAUCCAGCCAUGCCGCGUGAGUGAUGAAGGCCCUAGGGUUGUAAAGCUCUUUCACCGGAGAAGAUAAUGACGGUAUCCGGAGAAGAAGCCCCGGCUAACUUCGUGCCAGCAGCCGCGGUAAUACGAAGGGGGCUAGCGUUGUUCGGAUUUACUGGGCGUAAAGCGCACGUAGGCGGAUCGAUCAGUCAGGGGUGAAAUCCCAGAGCUCAACUCUGGAACUGCCUUUGAUACUGUCGAUCUGGAGUAUGGAAGAGGUGAGUGGAAUUCCGAGUGUAGAGGUGAAAUUCGUAGAUAUUCGGAGGAACACCAGUGGCGAAGGCGGCUCACUGGUCCAU
rnacentral:rRNA from 1 species